AAUUUUCGGCGGCUGUCUGAUGGC
rnacentral:miRNA from 1 species